rnacentral:rRNA from 1 species
AUUGAACGCUGGCGGCAGGCCUAACACAUGCAAGUCGAACGGUAACAGGAAGCAGCUUGCUGCUUCGCUGACGAGUGGCGGACGGGUGAGUAAUGUCUGGGAAACUGCCCGAUGGAGGGGGAUAACUACUGGAAACGGUAGCUAAUACCGCAUAACGUCGCAAGACCAAAGAGGGGGACCUUAGGGCCCCUUGCCAUCGGAUGUGCCCAGAUGGGGUUAGCUAGUAGGUGGGGUAACGGCUCACCCAGGCGACGAUCCCUAGCUGGUCUGAGAGGAUGACCAGCCACACUGGAACUGAGACACGGUCCAGACUCCUACGGGAGGCAGCAGUGGGGAAUAUUGCACAAUGGGCGCAAGCCUGAUGCAGCCAUGCCGCGUGUAUGAAGAAGGCCUUCGGGUUGUAAAGUACUUUCGGCGGGGAGGAAGGGAAUCAAGUUAAUACCUUUGCUCAUUGACGUUACCCGCAGAAGAAGCACCGGCUAACUCCGUG